GACGAACGCUGGCGGCGUGCCUAACACAUGCAAGUCGAACGCUGAAGCAGGAGCUUGCUUCUCUGGAUGGGUUGCGAGCGGGUGAGUAACGCGUAGGGAACGUGCCCUGCAGCGUGGUAUAAGUUUACGAAACGAAAGCUAAUACCGCACAGUAUAAGAUGUCGCAUUACAUUUACGUGAAAGGUGCAGUUGCAUCACUACCAGGUGGACCUGCCGUGUAUUAGCUAGUUGGUGGGGUAACGGCUCACCAAGGCAGCGGUACAUAGUCGGCGGGCGAGGGGGGGCGGCCACACUGGGACUGAGACACGGCCCAGACUCCUACGGGCGGCAGCAGUAGGGGAUCAUCGGCAAAGGACGGAAGUCUGACCGAGGCACGCCGGGGGAGUGAAGGAGGGUGUCGGAUCGGUAAGGUCCGUUGUUAGCGAAGGAAGAGUGUGAGAGUGGAAAGUUCACGCUUUGACGGUAGCUGAACAGAAAGCGACGGCUAACUACGUG
rnacentral:rRNA from 1 species